GAUGAACGCUAGCGGCAGGCCUAACACAUGCAAGUCGAGGGAGAGGUUACCUUCGGGUAACCAAAACCGGCGCACGGGUGCGUAACGCGUAUACAAUCUGCCUUUCACAUAGGGAUAGCCCGAAGAAAUUUGGAUUAAUACCUAAUGGUAUAUAAGAGCGGCAUCGUUUUUAUAUUAAAGCUACGGUGGUGAAAGAUGAGUAUGCGUUCUAUUAGCUAGUUGGAGAGGUAACGGCUCCCCAAGGCGACGAUAGAUAGGGGUUCUGAGAGGGAUGUCCCCCACACUGGUACUGAGAUACGGACCAGACUCCUACGGGAGGCAGCAGUGAGGAAUAUUGGACAAUGGUCGGAAGACUGAUCCAGCCAUGCCGCGUGCAGGAUGAAGGUCCUAUGGAUUGUAAACUGCUUUUGGAAGGGAAGAAUAAGGAGUACGUGUACUUUGAUGACGGUACCUGACGAAUAAGCAUCGGCUAACUCCGUG
rnacentral:rRNA from 1 species